CUGGCGGCCGUGCUUAACACAUGCAAGUCGAACGGAGAUUCAGCAAUGGAUCUUAGUGGCGAACGGGUGAGUAACGCGUAGGCAAUCUGCCUUCUAGAUGGGGACAACAUCCCGAAAGGGGUGCUAAUACCGAAUGUUGUACCGUUUCCGCAUGGAGAUGAUACUAAAGGUGGCCUCUGAAUAUGCUACCGCUAGAAGAUGAGCCUGCGUCUGAUUAGCUAGUUGGAGGGGUAACGGCCCACCAAGGCUUCGAUCAGUAGCCGGUCUGAGAGGAUGAACGGCCACACUGGGACUGAGACACGGCCCAGACUCCUACGGGAGGCAGCAGUGGGGAAUCUUCCGCAAUGGACGAAAGUCUGACGGAGCAACGCCGCGUGAGUGAAGAAGGUUUUCGGAUCGUAAAGCUCUUUCGUUAGGGACGAACGUGCUCUUUGUGAAUAAUGAGGAGUAAUGACGGUACCUAAAUAAGAAGCCACGGCUAACUACGUGCCAGCCGCCGC
rnacentral:rRNA from 1 species